rnacentral:rRNA from 1 species
UACGGAGGGGGCUAGCGUUGUUCGGAAUUACUGGGCGUAAAGCGUGCGCAGGCGGUCUGUUAAGACCGAUGUGAAAUCCCCGGGCUUAACCUGGGAACUGCAUUGGUGACUGGCAGGCUUUGAGUGUGGCAGAGGGAGGUAGAAUUCCACGUGUAGCAGUGAAAUGCGUAGAGAUGUGGAGGAAUACCGAUGGCGAAGGCAGCCUCCUGGGCCAACACUGACGCUCAUGCACGAAAGCGUGGGGAGCAAACAGG